CCAAGGGCGUAGGAGCCGGGUGGUUGUGAGGGAACGCCCCCAGCCGGCUCACUUCCGGUGGGGUUCACAAGAUGUGGGGCAUCACUGUUAAGAAGAUCCCUCUGGCUGCCAUGAGGAGAAUGGAUUGGAAGGAGCCAGCAUGCCUCGGGAAGGUAGAGCUUUUAGGAGUCUGUUGUAGUUGCACAGGCAGUUAGUUACCAGAGGAUGAUUGCCACCAAGAUGGAGCCAAGGCUGAAAGAGGAAGACAUUCGGAGCUCCAGCACAGAUGGCAGGAAUCCCCAGGAUGACUUGGAGAAUAACCAGUCCAGACUGUAGCAAGUCUGGUUCUGGGGAAGGCUACUUCAAAAGGAUGAGCAAUUGGAGAGAGAUUUAGACAAUCAGCAACAAGGUUGGGGUUGAAUUGGUGAUAAAUACAUGAAAACUAAGCCAGUGGGACAAUUAAACAGUAUUAGAUGAGAAAGGAAAAGUGUUGAAAGGUUACUACAUGGCUCAAUUGUGCAGUUUCCACAUAAUCCCAAUAAUGUGAAUUGAAUAUUGAGCUGUACAAAAUUAUGGCAUAACUAUACUGGAAAGAUGGGGGAAUGAAAAGAAUAUUUGUGUGAAUAGAAAAGAGCUAAACCUUCAUGCACCAUGGUGGGGAGUCAGUGGGUAACACUGAAACAAAAUUCACCAAGCAGCGUAUCAUCUAGAGACAGGGGGUAAAAUAAAAAAAACAAUUUAAAAAAGGCUAAAACAGGUGUCUGCAAGCACUCUGAGAGUAGUGUCUGCUUUUCCUAUUUUUUUAAAAAAUAACAAUUGUAGAAUUGUUUGAUUGUUAAAUCUAUGUGCUUAUAUGUAUAACUUUAAUAAAAAUGAAAACAAACAAUAA